CAGCCCUUGACAUCCCGGUCGCGGUUUCCAGAGAUGGAUUCCUUCAGUUCGGCUGGACCGGUGACAGGUGCUGCAUGGCUAUCGUCAGCUCGUGUCGUGAGAUGUUGGGUUAAGUCCCGCAACGAGCGCAACCCUCGCCCUUAGUUGCCAGCAUUAAGUUGGGCACUCUAAGGGGACUGCCGGUGAUAAACCGAGAGGAAGGUGGGGAUGACGUCAAGUCCUCAUGGCCCUUACGGGCUGGGCUACACACGUGCUACAAUGGUGGUGACAGUGGGCAGCGAGACCGCGAGGUCGAGCUAAUCUCCAAAAGCCAUCUCAGUUCGGAUUGCACUCUGCAACUCGAGUGCAUGAAGUUGGAAUCGCUAGUAAUCGCGGAUCAGCAUGCCGCGGUGAAUA
rnacentral:rRNA from 1 species